UAGCUAGUUGGUGAGGUAAAGGCUUACCAAGGCGACGAUCUGUAGCGGGUCUGAGAGGAUGAUCCGCCACACUGGAACUGAGACACGGUCCAGACUCCUACGGGAGGCAGCAGUGGGGAAUUUUGGACAAUGGGGGCAACCCUGAUCCAGCCAUGCCGCGUGAGUGAAGAAGGCCUUCGGGUUGUAAAGCUCUUUCGGCCGGGAAGAAAUCGCAUGGGCCAAUACCCUGUGUGGAUGACGGUACCGGAAUAAGAAGCACCGGCUAACUACGAGCCAGCAGCCGCGGUAAUACGUAGGGUGCGAGCGUUAAUCGGAAUUACUGGGCGUAAAGCGUGCGCAGGCGGUUUUGUAAGACAGGCGUGAAAUCCCCGGGCUUAACCUGGGAACUGCGUUUGUGACUGCAAGGCUAGAGUACGGCAGAGGGGGGUGGAAUUCCACGUGUAGCAGUGAAAUGCGUAGAGAUGUGGAGGAACACCAAUGGCGAAGGCAGCCCCCUGGGUCGAUACUGACGCUCAUGCACGAAAGCGUGGGUAGCAAACAGGAUUAGAUACCCUGGUAGUCCACGCCCUAAACUAUGUCAACUAGGUGUUGGGUGGGUAAAACCAUUUAGUACCGUAGCUAACGCGUGAAGUUGACCGCCUGGGGAGUACGGCCGCAAGGUUAAAACUCAAAGGAAUUGACGGGGACCCGCACAAGCGGUGGAUGAUGUGGAUUAAUUCGAUGCAACGCGAAAAACCUUACCUACCCUUGACAUGCCAGGAACUUGCCAGAGAUGGCUUGGUGCCCGAAAGGGAGCCUGGACACAGGUGCUGCAUGGCUGUCGUCAGCUCGUGUCGUGAGAUGUUGGGUUAAGUCCCGCAACGAGCGCAACCCUUGUCGUUAAUUGCCAUCAUUUAGUUGGGCACUUUAACGAGACUGCCGGUGACAAACCGGAGGAAGGUGGGGAUGACGUCAAGUCCUCAUGGCCCUUAUGGGUAGGGCUUCACACGUCAUACAAUGGUCGGUACAAAGGGUUGCCAAGCCGCGAGGCGGAGCCAAUCCCAGAAAGCCGAUCGUAGUCCGGAUUGCAGGCUGCAACUCGCCUGCAUGAAGUCGGAAUCGCUAGUAAUCGUGGAUCAGCAUGUCACGGUGAAUACGUUCCCGGGUCUUGUACACACCGCCCGUCACACCAUGGGAGCGGGUUCCGCCAGAAGUAGGUAGCCUAACCGCAGGGGGGCGCUUACCACGGCGGGGUUCGUGACUGGGGUGAAGUCGUAACAAGGUAGCCGUAGGGGAACCUGCGGCUG
rnacentral:rRNA from 1 species